GACGUAGGGUGCGAGCGUUGUCUGGAUUUAUUGGGCGUAAAGAGCUCGUAGGCGGCUCGUCGCGUCGACCGUGAAAACCCGCGGCUUAACUGCGGGCUUGCGGUUGAUACGGGCGGGCUAGAGUUCGGUAGGGGAGACUGGAAUUCCUGGUGUAGCGGUGAAAUGCGCAGAUAUCAGGAGGAACACCGAUGGCGAAGGCAGGUCUCUGGGCCACUACUGACGCUGAGAAGCGAAAGCAUGGGGAGCGAACAGG
rnacentral:rRNA from 1 species